AGAUUGAACGCUGGCGGCAUGCCUUACACAUGCAAGUCGAACGGCAGCACGGGAGCAAUCCUGGUGGCGAGUGGCGAACGGGUGAGUAAUAUAUCGGAACGUGCCCAGUCGUGGGGGAUAACGCAGUGAAAGCUGUGCUAAUACCGCAUACGAUCUAUGGAUGAAAGCGGGGGACUCGCAAGAGCCUCGCGCGAUUGGAGCGGCCGAUAUCAGAUUAGCUAGUUGGUGGGGUAAAAGCCCACCAAGGCGACGAUCUGUAGCUGGUCUGAGAGGACACCAGCCACACUGGAACUGAGACACGGGUCCAGACUCCUACGGGAGCAGCAGUGGGGAAUUUGGAC
rnacentral:rRNA from 1 species